rnacentral:rRNA from 1 species
UACUGCUCAGUAACACGUGGAUAACCUACCCUUGGGACCGGAAUAACCCCGGGAAACUGGGGAUAAUACCGGAUAAGCCAUAGACGCUGGAAUGCCCUAUGGUUCAAAGCUCCGGCGCCCAAGGAUGGAUCUGCGGUCUAUCAGGUUGUAGUGGGUGUAACGUACCUACUAGCCUACGACGGAUACGGGUUGUGAGAGCAAGAGCCCGGAGAUGGAUUCUGAGACACGAAUCCAGGCCCUACGGGGUGCAGCAGGCGCGAACACUUUACAAUGCGGGAAACCGCGAUAAGGGAACCCCGAGUGCCAGCAUCAAAUGUUGGCUGUCCAGAUGGUUAAAAAUCAUUUGUUAGCAAGGGCCGGGCAAGACCGGUGCCAGCCGCCGCGGUAACACCGGCGGCCCGAGUGGUAGCCGUUUUUAUUGGGUCUAAAGGGUCCGUAGCCGGCCUAAUAAGUCUUUUGGGAAAUCUGACAGCUUAACUGUCAGGCUUCUAAGGGAUACUGUUAGGCUUGGGACCGGAAGAGGUAAGGGGUACUCCAGGGGUAGGAGUGAAAUCUUGUAAUCCCUGGGGGACCAUCUGUGGCGAAGGCGCCUUACCAGAACGGGUCCGACGGUGAGGGACGAAAGCUAGGGGAGCAAACCGGAUUAGAUACCCGGGUAGUCCUAGCUGUAAACGAUGCUCGCUAGGUGUCAGACACGGUGCGACCGUGUUUGGUGCCGCAGGGAAGCCGUUAAGCGAGCCACCUGGGAAGUACGGUCGCAAGGCUGAAACUUAAAGGAAUUGGGCGGGGGAGCACUACAACGGGUGGAGCCUGCGGUUUAAUUGGAUUCAACGCCGAAAAACUCACCGGGUGCGACAGCAACAUGUAGGUCAGGCUGAAGGUCUUACCUGAAUCGCUGAGAGGAGGUGCAUGGCCGUCGUCAGUUCGUACUGUGAAGCAUCCUGUUAAGUCAGGCAACGAGCGAGACCCGCGCCCACAGUUGCCAGCAUGUUCUCUGGAACGAUGGGUACACUGUGGGGACCGCCGCUGCUAAAGCGGAGGAAGGAACGGGCUACGGUAGGUCAGUAUGCCCCGAAUCUCCCGGGCUACACGCGGGCUACAAUGGUUGGGACAAUGGGCACCUACCCUGAAAAGGGACGGUAAUCUCCGAAACCCAACCGUAGUUCGGAUUGAGGGCUGUAACUCGCCCUCAUGAAGCUGGAAUCCGUAGUAAUCGCGUUUCAACAUAGCGCGGUGAAUACGUCCCUGCUCCUUGCACACACCGCCCGUCAAACCAUGCGAGUGAGGUCUGGGUGAGGGCGUGUUUAUGACACGUUCGAACUUGGGCUUCGCAAGUGGGGUUAAGUCGUAACAAGGUAGCCG